rnacentral:lncRNA from 1 species
AAAGUUGUACAGAGAUGGCGGAAUAGAUGCAGAAGCGAUGUGACUCGAUGAUUCAUCAAAACAGAAGAUGGAGAAACUGGAGAUGGGCUUUCCUCUUUCCCNNUAGCAUUCUGGUAUGUUUGCUUGAAGUCAAAUUACAAGCUGCCUGAGUGAAAGAUUGCAGAGAGCUCCAGGUUUAAGUCAUGGAAAACUGUCUAUGCCGGCUUACAAAACCAUAGACAAGGAAGCAGCAACCAACGAACAGUCACUCCCUGUGAAAUAAAAUACUGUAAGUCCUAGAAGAAAGGAACUCA